AGGAAUCAAUCCUAUGGCAGAGUAGCUAUGUUCUGAGCUGAUAAACGCUGAAAGCAUCUAAGCGUGAAACAGACCACAAGAUGAGAUAUCCCAUCUAUAUGAAUAAGACCCCUUGAAGACUACGAGGUUGAUAGGUCAGAGAUGUAAGCAUAGUGAUAUGUUGAGUUGACUGAUACUAAUAGGUCGAGGGUUUUAUCUUA
rnacentral:rRNA from 1 species